GCCCGUUUGGCUUAGCGGUAAAGCGCAUCACUAGUACUUGCUAUUAUAAUUAAUUAUCUGUACGCACAUGAUGAGAUCCUAGGUUCGAUUCCUAGAACGGGCA
rnacentral:tRNA from 1 species